AUGGAAUCGUCUCUGGGUGUGUUAGUUUGGAAUGUUAGGGGGCUUAAUAACCCUGCGAGGAGGUGUUCUAUCAGACUUUUCAUACAAUCCUACAACGUAUCUUUAGUUUGUUUUCAAGAAUCUAAAUUGGCACUGGUGGAUGCCACGGUGGUAUAUGAAACAUUGGGCCCAACCUUUGAUGCAUUUGAUUUUUUGCCAGCUGCCGGCACAAGAGGAGGAAUUCUAUUAGCCUGGAAG
rnacentral:rRNA from 1 species